UCAAUUUUUUUAAUAAUUAAACUUAUUUGCCAUUAUAUGUUUUUAUUUAUUUACUCGCACAAUGCAUAGUAAAACAUUGUAUGAUACACGUGCGUAAAGAUGAUUUCCGCACUUGUUGCAUAAAUAGCUAUUAUUGUUUUGCAAUUUUGUAAGUACAACAGAUAGAUAAGAAAUAUCGUCAAAGCAAUUUCUUUCGUUAUUAGUUUUGAACAUUUUGCAACGAAAGUAGUGAAAAUCAGCCCGAUUGAAUACUUAUUUCUCGUAUUUCAUGUGCGUAAAUUUCACUCUCGAAUAGGUCCUUGGAGCAUAUUGUUUAGAAUAGAACGCCGUUACACUCUGUAUCCAAAGAUAAAAUAUGGUUACCUACUUGAAUUCUCUGCUUAGAUAAUAUUAAGGCCUAGAUUAUAAAAGAAGGGUGAUAUUGACAGUGGAUUGUUAAACAUUUUAAGAAAUGAGUUGAGGUAGGGAGAACUAGGCAUAAACUAUUUCCCAAUUCCCAGUGUUGAACUAAAUGUCAAUGUGGAGAAGAGCCGGCAUAUAAAAUGAACUCUUGUACAGAUGUAGUGCAUACUCCUUUACCAUCGUAAUUUCUCGGAAACGUUCGUAUUUGUCAUGCUACUUUUGACUGCAACCUCAGUACUUUUUGUACUGAGACUGACUGAAAUAGCACAACACGUUCAAAUGUCGAAAAUACGAUGGCAAGGGAUUAUGCACUAUAACUGUAUUUACGCACUUCGCUCAAACAUACUUGUAGUCAGAAAGGAAGAGCUUCCGUUCUUCUGUAGUGAGUAUGUGUACACAUGCAGGAGUUAGAAGCGGCGAAAGAGCUUGUGGACGGUCUUACUUGAUAGACGGUCUUCUCCACAUUGACCUUGGUUACGAAAAUGAACUAAGGUACUUUUAGUGACACUAGCUUUUGUAUCAUCUGAAAUUUAUCACAUUAUCACAUUAUAUUAUUAUAUUAACUUAUCUUCGUAGCAAUUUACCUUAAAGUCGAAUUUAAAGGAGAUUUACAGAAUGCAUGCGUUAACGCCGUUUACUGUUGUGAAAGGAUACAGGAAUCUUAUAUACCACCAAGGUGGCGUUCAACCCUUUGAACGUCACGCCAUAUCCUGUGCGGCGCGUCAUUAUGAACCUUAUCGGAAUGCAGGAAGGUUAACAUUGGGCUGUAGCCGCACGCGUCAGUUGACGUUUUUGGCGAUCAAAGGGUUAAGCAACUUCACGGUUUGCCUUUUUUCCAAACAAGUAUAAUUUGUCCUCUGUUUCUAACAAAUAUUGUUUUUGUAUUGGAUAGGCUGAUACUCGAAUUCAUUAUAAGAUCCAAUUUACUUAAUGUCAUAACUAAUCCUAUAAUCAAGUGCCGGUGGCGAUAGUCGGGUUCUCUGUUCGUAGUCGCUGUUUUUUAUACACGGGAUUUUGCAUGUUAUCGACUACACUCGUAGCGCGUAGCACGCGCCGGCACUGAAUGUGUUUGUCAUAACUAAUCCUAUAAUCAAGUGCCGGUGGCGAUAGUCGGGUUCUCUGUUCGUAGUCGCUGUUUUUUAUACACGGGAUUUUGCAUGUUAUCGACUACACUCGUAGCGCGUAGCACGCGCCGGCACUGAAUGUGUUUGUCAUAACUAAUCCUAUAAUCAAACUAUGUACUGUAGCCUUAUUGGCAAUACAUUAUUGUAAAGGCAUUCCGUGAAAGAAUUUUAAAAUUAAUUUUAAGGAAACAUACAUAUAAAAAUAAUGCAAAUUGCAAUCGACGAACUAGACAUAUUUAAGUUUAAUAUUUUAUAAUCCACGAUAGCCAGUCCGUUGGUAUAUAAGAUUUUUAGAUGUGGGUCUAAAGAAUGUUAAUUGGGAAUGUGUCAAGCGCGAAGCGCACGUUAGAAAUGUAUACAACCGGUAAUAUAAGUGACCAUUGAGAUACUUAAGAAAAGGUGAUAAGCUCAUUGAAUUUUAUUUUGUCUUAUUGGUUUUUAUAAAUAAAAUUUUCGUUUUUUUAAA